GAAAGUUGUAAGUGCCUUUCCUUAUGUUGGCAUGGGAUCUCAUUUCAUCCUGUGCAGCCCUUGGUAGAAAUCAAGAUUCUUACCUUUACGCUGGUCCUUCAUAGCAUUCAUUCAACAAAUCUUUAUUGAGCACCUACUGUGUACUUUCCUGUGCAAGUUGAGGCUCUUUCUCUCAGCUCCUCUUGCUGUGGAGCCAACUUAGAGGCAGGGCUCAUAUCAUGCUUAUUUUAAUACUUAAUUAAGAGCCCUUCCUCUGAGGCACAUGCUAUUCACAUUUAGCAUUUGUGUUUCAGUCAGUGCAAGCCAACUGCUGUAACAAACAGCCCCUAAAGCCCCAGUAAAGGACUAUUUCUUGCUCCAGCCACAGUCCCACUUGAGGAGGUUGGUCCUUGCCCUGUCCCAUGCGCCUUGCUGUAUUAUUGUCCACAGGUUCCAUCCAUCUGCUGGCUGCCAAGGUCUAGGGUUCCUCACUGGAUUCCCCUGCGUUUGGCCUUCAGACAGACAAAGAGCAAAACGGGGGAGGAUGUCGUGAAGGACUUUUUUAGGGACCAAGUAGGGAAAUGUAAGCGUCUCUUCUGCCUGCAUUUCAUUGGCCAGGACCGGGUCACAUGACCCACCCAACUGCAAGGGAUGCUGGGAAAUGCAGUCAGCCCGGAUGCGCACGAGGAAGGGGCCAUGGCGUUGGUUGAACACAUAGCAGCGCCCCCACCCCAAUCUCCCACCGCCCCAGCCGUGCCAUCACUGUCAGCUUCUGAGGGCACACUUCCCGGUGUGGCUUUCAUCCCUCCUCCCCUGUUCCGCCCGGAGCCUUGACCUCCGUUCAGAAUUACGCGUCAGUAUCCUGUCCUCUGACCCCAGCACCGUAUCUUCCAUAUGCCCUUUGUUAUUUCUCGUCCUCGGAGACCUCUGUUUUGGACCUUUUUAAAUAGUCAUCAUCCCGCCUUGCCUUGGUUGCUUUCGGCGGUUCUGGUGAUCCCCUGAUUCUCCCUCUCCCCAGCUCUCUCACUUCUCUCAUACCUUGUCCUCCCCCCUUAGCCUUGACCAUCCUACCGGCCAUCUCUGCUCCCCGCGUCUGGCCGCCCAAGGCUGCUGAAGUCCUGACAGGUACCGCCUUUCCUGAUUCCAGAUCUCCACCUCUGUCUGGCCUCAAGCCUUGGUCAGCUCUUUCUAUGCUGCAUUCAGUGGUUAUUCAGAUUAUCAACAGACUCCUUUUUUUUUUUUUUUUUGGCCACGCCUGGGGCAUGCAGAAGUUCCCAGGUCAGGAAUGGAACCGGAGCCCCAACAGCCACUUCUCAUUCUUCUCUCAGCAAACAGCUUCAUAAUAGAGAAUAAGUCAAGGACACCCUCAGCUUCCUGCUCCCCUCACUCCAAAUCUGCCCACUGAUUAAACAUCCCUUUCUCUUUGGACCCAGAUAAUGAGGUAUCUGCAGCCCCAGGUCGAGGUUGGUCUUUGUUCUUCCCACUGGUCUUCCAUCAAAUAUUCCUUUUUCCUCGCACUCUGUCCCCCUCCUGGUUCCUUCCAUCUGUUCAUACAUGGCCCUUUACCUUUGAUCUUGAAAAAACACACCUUCCGCCAGCCUUGCUACCCCAUCUCGCUGCCACCCACUUUUCUGUCUCAUCUUUUCAACAGAACUUCUGAGGAUGGAGGGCGGCGUUAGCCCUUUUCAUCUCCUCACCUCCCAGGACCUCCUGACCGGUGAAUCCUAAACAUCGGAGAAUUAUGUCCUAUGGGAAAUUGUGUCAUUUUACUGAAAUUCUUGGUAUAUUUACAACGGUUAGCCUCUACCUCUGCUUGAAAUAUCUUCUCCUUGCUUCUGUGACCCUUCUCCCUCCCACUUCUCAGCUCAUCCUUCUUUUCUGGUGAUAUUUUUCUUACUCAUCCCCCUUGGGGGCUCCUGUUCUUUGUUCAUUAAAUCACUUUUUUUUUUUUUUUGAAUUGUGACUUUUAAUUCUUAAAGUAUAGUUGAUAUACAAUGUUGUACCCCUUUCUGCUGUACAACAAACUGACCCAGUCAUCCAUACAUGCAUGCUUUUAACACCCUAACCUUUUACCAGCAGCCCCCCUUUUCUUUUUGCUCACAUUCUCCCCUGAGACUCUUAUGCCAGGCUCACACUUCUACUUAGAACUUGUGGACUGAGGCCCCCGGGUUGGCUAUUGAGUCAAGUCUUUUCGUGGACAUGAGGAACAAACAUCCCUGCUCUUUUUAUUGGAUGUCUUUACUUGUUUGUCCACAGCCACUUACAUCUGAUGCCUGUGAAAUGGAUCACCUGGUCUCCCUCUCCCCUGACCUCAGCUUCCCCUGUCUCCUUGAUUCCUUGUACCAAGGAUGUAACAGAACCACGUUUCCUCGGCGUCUGAAGCCAGAAUCCUUAGCAUCAUUUAUCUCUCCUCCUUUUUUCCCUCUAAAUCCACUUAGUUCCCAGGCCCUGCUAGUUUUGCUUCAUGGAUAUUUCUUGAAUCUCUUCCUGCUAUGACCGGUCUCGUUGAAUCCCUCAUUACAACUUGCCUGGACCAUGCCAGUGGCCUCCUUACACGUUUCCCGGCCUCUGGUCCUGCCCCAUCUCUCGCUCCCCUAACUCUGCAUUUACGAGCUUUCAACCCUGCGCUGGGUCAGACUCCAUUGCUCCUUCUGGCACCCAAGCCAUACUGAGCAACACAGCAUGAGGUUACUGAGCGCAAGUUGAAUAGACUUCUCCGGUUGUGUGAAAACAAACCAGAACAAGUAUCGUGGGGCAGUGCUGCCCAAGUGGGUCUUUGCAGCUCAGAAUAAAAUCACAGCGACAGCCUCGUAUGUGGAUUCUGAAAGAGCCAAACCUUAAAUAACUUAGAUGAAAGUACAAAUGAUGUGCUGUUGAAAACUGAUGACUCAAGAGUCCCUCUUGUGAAGGCAGCAGCACUGGCGUCAAGGGCACAGAGAUGGCAUAAAACUCUCUGUGAAACGUGAGAACGAGCAAAAGCAACAUUUCUUUCUUUUUUUUUAAUUUUUAUUUUUUAGCUUUUGAGGGCCGCUCCUGAAGCAUAUGGAGGUUCCCAGUCUAGGGGUCGAAUCAGAGCUGCAGCUGCCGGCCUACACCACAGCCACAGCAACGCAGGAUCCCAGCCACAUCUGUGACCUACACCACAGCUCAUGGCAACACCAGAUACUUAACCCACUGAGCGAAGCCAGGGAUCGAACCCGCAACCUCAUGGUUCCUAGUCAGAUUCGUUUCUGCUGCACCACGACGGGAACUCCAAAAAGCAACAUUUCUAAGUUAACAUGUAAUAUCGUACGUUAAAUAUGCAUAUACAACUAAGUCAAUAAACUCAGCAGUGAAAGUGAACAUUUGACAAUUUCAUGUGCAUCUGCAUCUCCAUACAUUCACGUUAGCCAGCGCUUUCCUUUGUAAUGGGAAACGGGGAUUUGCCCUUGAUUUCAAGUCAGUGUAUAUCUGGCCAGUGUAAGAGUUUGUCAGGGCCUUGAUUGACUCUUAGGUCUUUUCAUGCCUACGGUUGAGCUUGGUGACCGUUCCUGGGUGCUCCCCAACACUUAGCUUAAGAAACAAGCUCAGAGCUGCCCAUUGAGGCAAAGUGGUGUUGGCAGUGUGGGACUCUGAAAAGACAUGCCUUGUAAGAUGCUUAGAAGCUUCUCUGUUUGGGCUGAUGAAUGUUCCAGAAGGCCUUUUGAAAUUCCUAAACCCAAGCAACCACUAACUCCCUCUGUUGUAAUGGGUAGAACUGUUAUACUCGGAUUCUCUGGCGUGGCUUUAUUCAUAUCUACCGAAUUUUUGAUGGAAAGUUUAUAUGUUGAAGGCUUUGUACAGUCCUUUUCUUAGCCCUUCGGUAAGAUACCCAAGAACUAGAAGGCUUUCAAAUGCCUCAUAAUUUAAUGGAGUUCAAAAUGUAGAAACAAAUUUUAUCUCAAAAGUUUUGACAUGAGUGUGGAAGUCCUACGUCUCACGGGCAGUAUCUUCAUCUCAAGGAGUAAUUAUUCGAUCCUGACUCGGGAAAGAAUUUUCCAGCUCCUGGCAUGGCUCAGUUAACAAAAAGAGAAAAAAAAACAAACAAACAUGUUUUUAGAAACAGUGACUUGAGGACAAGAGAAACGGAGUUUCCAAGGAGAGAUGGGAGCUGUUAGGGAAACUUUCGUUUUCUAAACUCCCACUGAAAACAACCAAGAGAUGGGGAAAAAUAAUUUUUCCCACAGUCACAUUCCUAUUUAGGGCUUAGGCUUGUAUUUAGUGAGGACUGAAAGAACAAAUGCCAGCACAGAUCUGCUGAGGAGAGCUGGUAGUUUUAAUGAGCAUUUUUUCCCCCUUUCUAUAUUUGCUGUAGUCCAGGCAAGCGUGUACAUAAAUAGCCACAAUUUGUAAAUUGUUCCUGACAUAUUUUCUGCUCUUUGAAUUCCCUGAGUGCCUGCAACAUAAUUAGAAAGAAGCAAUCUUUUUGCAUCCGUAAUGGGGAAAAAGGACAUGGUUUCAGCAUGCAAAUAGGAUGUUACCUAAACAGAAGAUUAUAUAUGCAGCCAGCAACUGUUCUCGUCACGGAGACAGAAAAGGAGCUAUUGAAAGCAUCGGGAACUGUUCCUAGCUCUGCUGGCAUUUCUCUCUGCUGCUCAGAGCCACCUACUGCGCACACAGGUGCAGGGAUGGUUCCCGUGAAAGGGCAGAAAUGCAGCCCCCCAGGAGACGUGCACACAGUCUUAUCGGAUGUUUCUGUUGUGAAUUUAGGCUACGGGCUUGAAAAGAGAGUUUGUGUGGUGCUUCCUCUGCCCUGUUACAUAGACCUUCCUCCUGAUACAGACCAGAAGAACUAGACAAACUUUACAAGGCAUUUAGCUUCCAGCUUCAGUUGGUGACCAACCAAUUGCUUCAUUCAUUCAUUCAUUCCUUCACUCGUGCACUCAUUGAGCAUCUGCUUGUCACCGUCCUAAAUUCUGGGGCCUCAACAUCCUAAAAAAUGAAGCGCAUCUCUGCACAGAGCUCCCAUCUGACAGGGGAUACAAAUAAUAGACAAAGAUGCAGAAUACAAUCAAUGUUCUCUGGUUCUAUGGGGAAAAAUAAAGCAGAGUAUUAGGAUGGAAGUGUGACUGGACUAUUAUUUUAUUUUAUUUUAGGGCUGUUAUUUUAGAGAAGGUAGCCAGGGAAGGCCUAGGAAGAUGGGUUUUGAGAUGAAGGAGGGGACCACUAGAAUGUCUGCAGAGAGGGCAUCUGGUUAGGGGAGCAUCCCAGUCAAAGGAAGCAUCUUGGUUAAGGAAGCAUCAGUGAGAAGGCCCUGGAGCUGGGAAGCACUUGGUGUCUCUGAGGGACAGCCAGAAGACCAGUGGGAAUAAGGGGAUCACGGAGAAUAGGCCGCCAAGAAAGUGAACAGAUCUUGGGCCACUGGGCCCUUCAGACGUCAUUCCAAGUAUGACAGCAAGAAGCCAUCGGGAGGUUUUGCUCAGAGGAGUUACAUGGGUUGAUGUGAGUUAUAGCGUGUUGUUCUGGUGGCCAUGUGGAAAGUAGAUGCUGGGAGCUGGGGGCCAAGAGUGGAAUCCAGGUUAUCAGUUGGGAGGUAUGUUUGUGGUAGGAGAGGAAGCGACUUGGGCUGAGGAAGCGGCGGAUGUGGAAGGCUGAACUGAUGGGGUUUGCUGAUGGAUGAGGGCUCUGGGAGAAGGAGAAAGGCCAGCCAAGAUUCCUGGGCUUUUGGACGGAGCGACAGGGUGAAUGGCUGGAGAAGAGCAAGACUAGGGUGGGAGGGCGCCUCCUGUGUGUGAUGGCUUUUAAAUAGCCAAGUGGCCAGAAAAGAAAAAAAGCCCUGAAAAAAUGUAAAUCAACUCUACUUCCAUUUUUUAAAAAACUCAUAAAAAUAGAAAAAAGCCAUCAAAAUUAAAAAAAACUCAGUGGACAGGUUAAACAGCAGUUAAGCUUAAAUGAUGUGAGACUCCUUUCUAUUGAGAACAGAUCUGGAAGUAUCUAGAAUGCAGCACUGAACAAGCUGAUAGCAAAUAAGAAGAACACUGAAACAGAGAAGACAGCUAGUGGUUGCCAGUGGGGGAGGGGAGGGGGGAGGGGCAACAUGGGGGAAGGGGCCAAGAGGUACAAACUCUCACGGAUAAAAUAAGCUAAAGCGAUUUACUAUUGCACAACAUGGGGAACAUAGCAAAUAUUUUAUAGUAACUAUACGCAGAAAGUAAUCUUUAAAAAUUGUAAAUCAUUGUAUUGUGUACCUGCAACUUAUAUAAUAUUGUUGUAUAGAAUCCUUCCAGUGCUAUAUCUAGUACCUUCGUCUAAAUAGCCAACUAUACUUAAAAAAAGAACACCGGGAGCUCCCCUCGUGGUGCAGCAGAAACAAAUCCCUAAGAACCAUGAGGUUGUGGGUUCCAUCCCUGGGCUCGCUCAAUGGGUGAAGGAUCCGGCGUUGCCAUGAGCUGUGGCGUAGGUCACAGAUGCGGAUCAGAUCCCAUGUUGCUGUGCUGAGGCUGGCAGCUGCAGCUCCCUGAGACCCCUAGCCUGGGAAUCUCCAUAUGCCGCAGGUGCAGCCUUCAAAAGCAAGCAAAAAAACAAACAAACAAAAAAACAAAGAAAAACACACCAAAAAAAAAAAAAAAAAAAAAA
rnacentral:lncRNA from 1 species